AUACGGAAGGUCCGGGCGUUAUCCGGAUUUAUUGGGUUUAAAGGGUGCGCAGGCGGAGAUGCAAGCGUGACGUCAAAUUUCGGGGCUCAACCCCGUCUCGCGUCGCGAACUGCGUCCCUUGGUUGCGGGAAGGGGAGGCGGAACUCGUGGUGUAGCGGUGAAAUGCAUAGAUAUCACGAAGAACUCCGAUCGCGAAGGCAGCCUUCCGGCCCGUCAACGACGCUCAUGCUCGAAGGUGCGGGUAUCAAACAGGAUUAGAUACCCUGGUAGUCCGCACAGUAAACGAUGGACACCCGCGGUUUGGCCUAUAUGGCUGAGCCGCCAAGCGAAAGCGUUAAGUGUCCCACCUGGGGAGUACGCCGGCAACGGUGAAACUCAAAUGAAUUGGCGGGG
rnacentral:rRNA from 1 species